GUCUCGGUGGCAUGACUGGUUAGUGUGUGUGGCUGUUAACCACAAGGUUGGUGGUUUGAGCCCACCCAGGGACA